CCGCAGAGGUCCAGGGGGCCUCGGGGCGGGGAGCCUACGCGGGCCGACGCCGCGGCUCCGGAGCGACCGCCGUGGGGUCUCGGGGGUCCUGGGAUCGAAGGCCUGGGACCCCGGGUGCGCAGCCCGCGCUCCCAUUACCAGUCUGAGACUAGCUGGAGCUGCCCCAAACCAGCUAGUCCAGGCCCCCUGCGCUGAGGCUCCACCUUGGAAGGGCGGAGGAGCUGAGGGCGAGGUUUCCCGUUAGAAUCACCCGGCGGUGUCGGGGGCUGAGGCCAGGCCUCAAAAGCGACUUCUAAAGCCGCAGGCUCCGGUGCAGUGUUGGGGGAGCCGUGGUCACCGGUGGCUGUCAGGCUUGCGCUGCUCCCCGGCUGGACCUCGCCCCAGGCUUAGGAUCCAGUGCUUCCCAUCCGCAGGAGCCACGCUCGCUCGCUUUUGGAGUUGGGUGCAGAAGUGGGUUCCUUGCUCUCAGCGGCUUGGAAGGCCCAGGUGAUUCCUGUGCACUUACAAGAUGGAGCGGUGCUGCCUCAAAAGAUGACAGCUGAUCGGAAAAACACCGGGAAACGAUAGGGGUGACAUAGAGGAGAGAGGAGGGAAAACCCGUUCAGGGGGAGCACAGAGCCCGUGCUCUCCGUCCGUGUUCACCUGUGUGGGUAACUCCCCCUGUUCCAGAUGCCAACACCACACACACACACACACACACACACAUACACACACACACACACAGACACACACACACACGGGGGCGGGGGGAGUGGCAGAGACAGACAGACAGGCAGACAGAGAGCACUCCAUUUCUCCUCGUGUGUCUAGUUUCCCUUAGAAGGCCGUGUUCUGAAAGAUGCCCAGAUAAGUCUCACUUCCAAAAUGAUGUCUUCACUUACGAAUUUUUCUUCCUGUGACCUCUUCACUCUUCAGACUCCCCAGAUCUCUCCAGCUGUUGCAUUUUCAUCGUUGGAUUUUCACUUUAGGGUCUGAACACAGUGUUUGUUUGUUUCCCUACUGCAGAUAGUAUUUUUCUGCGAGAAUUCACACCUCACUCAUUGCUGGCACAAAAUUAUGUUGAGGAUCAGUCAGCACUGAAAAGGCCUCUGUCGGUCCUUGGUAGUCCUGGGUAGGUAGACAGAGAGUCAAGGCCAGUGAACUACAUUUCCACCCAUCGAACCUGAGAAAAGCUGUAGAACGAAGGGACGGGACGUGACUAAAUACCGAAGCGUGGAGGCAGUUUGAGCGCUGUAUCCAAAGGGGAGCUUGUGCCUUGCAUGCUGUCUGUUGGUGAUAUUAGAAGCAGUGCAGGAAUGGGGAGAAGGAAAAGGAACAUCAUCUGAAGACAGAGACCACCAAGGAAGAGCAAGCGAUCACAGAGGCAUAGAUGGAAAUGUUUCAACAGGAUCUCUAAGGAUAGAAGCAAGGAAGGAUUCUUCACUACAGAUUUCACAGGGAACAUGGCCCUGCUGACAUCUUCAUUUCUGAUGUCUGUCCAUCAGAGCCAUGGAUAGUUUCUGUAGAUUUAACAGAAAACAGACAAAAAUGGGACUUUGUUAAAGCCUCCCUUGAAAAGUCUAUGUAUCUGCUGUACCAUGUUCCCUGUUCUUUAUGAGGACCAAUCAUGUGACUUGUAGAUUCCCACUUGGCUAAAUUUCACAUUCUCCUUAUUUCCCUGGAACAUGAAGUAAACCAACUCUUGUGUUCCUUACUGUCCAAGCAUAAGAAUAUACCGGAACCAGGAGUGGGGCCAUAACAAUAAACAUUGGUGAGAAAUGAUGGCCACGUGAAGCUGUUUGCUGUGAUGGGGUCAUGUCAGAAGCAGGGAAGUUCUUACUGUAUCUACACACAUCUGCUGCAUUUGUACACCAGCCAUAAUCUGCUGCCUUAAGAUAAUUACACAAUGUCCCAAAGCAAGGGUUUGAGAGCUUUUUUAACCUCCAAAGAUGAGGUCUAAAAAAAAAUCUAUAGAAUUGAAAGUUCCAUUGAAUUCCUGAUUAAUCCAUACCUCCAUGUGAAAAGUUAGACCAUAAUCAUCAGUUUCAAAUUCUAUUAAUGAGCUACUAAAACAGAAGAGGUCAAGUGACUUACUCAAGACCAGACCAGUUUUACGCUAUGUACAUUCUACCACAAUUAAAAGUAAUUAAAAAUUAAUAAAAGCAUUCACUUUGUUAUGAGUUAUGUAAAUUAAUUAUUUGAAAUGCAAAUAGGAUAAACAGGAUUAUGUGUGAAUAUUUAAGGCUGAAGAUCAAACAAGUUCUCUGCUAAUGGCCUUGUAGUCUACCCUGAAUGGUAUAUGUUGGGGCAAAGAAGGAGUUAUUUCCAAACAAGUUUAUGUUAAUAUGAAUAUUUUGCUGAAGUGGCCUACUAGCAAAUGAGACAAAAGUUUAAGAUAAUCUAAUUUUUAUGACCCUUACAGAAUAGUUCAAACAUAGAGACUAUGUCUUAUUGUAUUU